UUAAGCAAAGGAGAAAGACUUCAGGCCAGCUUCAUCGCGCUGAAGAGGAAGUAACAUACAGCGAUGUUAAACAAAGACAACCUACAGACAAGUGGUCGGAUGCUAAUAGAGAUGUGGAUGU